GUGUGUUAGAGAGAUAUUUCUAGGGUUUGUUCCAUUCUACGGCAACGAUGAAAGGCGACGAUGUGUCGGUGAAACGAGCUUCGACGGAGGUGGAAUCUGACGCUUCUGUCUCUAAAAAACCAAAGAUCGAAGACGAAGACGACACAAGCAUGGAAGAAGAAAGCGAUAGCGAUAACGAAGGCUUAUGGAGUGUCGACGCAGAAGACGAUGGUGACGUCGUGAGAUCUCCGACAAUCAACUAUUCAAACAUGCAAGAUCCGGAACCGGAGUGGGAUAAGGACAGUUACGAUGGCUACGAAUUGAAAUUCGAUCCUGACGGCCGUGAAGGUUUCUCCAGCGACAAGGCGUACCAAGAGUUCCGCGAGUAUAAAACCAAGGCCUUUGAGAAUAGGGGGUUUUUAGAAGAUCCAUUCAGAUCCAUCUACCCCAUUAGAGAUCUGGACGAUCUCUGGACAACCACCACUAAGAGGCAAUAUUUGACAGAUAUUGCUUCCCUCUGUGUUAAGAAACUCAACGAGGAGAAGGGUAUGUCUGUGGAAGUUGUAAGCAUUGUGAGAGGCAAUCUAAAACCAGGAGGUGGGUGGAAGCUCUACAUCACUUUUAUGGCCCGAGAGUAUCCGGAUGGUCCUCUCCUGGAGUAUCAAGCCAAGGCAGUGGAUUAUGCAGGACACAAAAUACCUCCAUUUCCCAUUCUCUGCAGACCAGCCUCUAGCGUAUCCUAAUCUAUGACUUGCAUUAGCGGAACACCAAGAUCAAGGUGAUUGAAAUGAUGUUUUCCAGUUAUAAGUAAGCUGAGUCCGAGGUGGAUUUAGGGUUUGUCUUAAAUGUUAGCUAUAUCUUUUGGGAGAUGUUUACUGUCAGAUAACAUGGUCAUCAUAAAACAGAUGUUUAUAUAACUCACAUAACGUUGGGUUGUUGAAUAAUAAGUUUCUGUUUAAUUGGACUAAAGAAUUUGGGACAUUAUCUUAUGCAUUUGGAAGGUCUUCGCAUGAUGCAAUUUUUCAUCACCAGAAUAUACAAUGAAAGCUCUCAUCGCAGCAUGAUCCAAUGUCCAAGCUUGGUCUAAAUGAGUCUACAAUAUAUACAAGUAUCCAAUUCACCAUGAGAGGAUGAUUCUUUCCCCAACAAAAUUACUUAAGAGAUGGUGAUUUUCGUAGUGACUGCUUUGAUACCUGCUAAUAACAAAAACUUGUUACAAAGAAAACCUGUGCUAUUUUUAAAUAAACGGGGGCUGUAAAAUUACUAUGGGGCUUGUAUCAGGUAUGGCCCAUAUAAUUGCUCACUGGCCCAAAUAAUCUUCCGACCGAGUCACGUGCGCAAAUAGACAGAGAGAGAGAUAUAAGGACACAUACCGUUUCAUUAUUCCCAAUUUGUGUGUUGCGAGAGAGAGAGAGAGAGAUAUCUAGGGUUUGAUCGAUUCUCCAGCGACGAUGUUAAGCGACGAUUUGGGGACGAAAAGAGCUGCGACUGAGGAGGAAUCUGACUCUUCUGUCUCAAAAAAGCCGAAGAUCGAAGAUGAAGACGACACAUGCAUGGAAGACGAAGGCGAUAGCGAUAGCGAUAGCAAUAACCCAUUCUUAUGGAGUACCGACGAAGAAAAGGAUGACUCUCCGACAAUCAACUAUUCAAACUUGCAAGAUCCGGAACCGGAGUGGGAUAAGGACAGUUACGAUGGUUACGAAUUGGAAUUCGAUGCUGACGGCCGUGAAGGUUUCCCCGACGACAAGGCGUACCAAGACUUCCGCGACUAUAAAACCAAGGCCUUUAAGAGUAGGGGGUUUUUUGAAGAUCCAUUCAGAUCCAUCUACCCCAUUAUAGAUCUGGAAGGUCCUUGGUCAGACACGACAAACGUGACUAGGAGGCAAUAUUUGGCAAAUAUUGCUUCCCUGUGUGUUAAGAAACUCAACGAGCAGAAUGAUGUGUGUGUGUGUUUUGUACUUAGCGUUCGUCUGUGGAAGUUGUAAGCGUUGUGAGAGGCAAUCUAAAACCAGGAGGUGGGUAUAAGCUCUACAUUACCUUUAUGGCUCGGGAGUAUCCCAAUGGUCCUCUCGUGGAGUAUCAAGCCAAGGCCAUGGAUUUUGCAGGAGGCAGAAAACCUCCCUUCCCCAUUCUCUGCAGGCCAGCCUCUAGCAUAUCCUAAUCUGUGACUUGCAUUAGGGUAUGGUGCUCUUCUAGAGGAAGAUUUAGAUCAAAAUAAGGCUUUCGAGUUACAAGUUU